rnacentral:rRNA from 1 species
AGAGAGUGCGAGCGUUAAUCGGAAUUACUGGGCGUAAAGCGCGCGUAGGUGGAUAUUUAAGUCGGGUGUGAAAGCCCCAGGCUCAACCUGGGAAUUGCAUUCGAUACUGGGUAUCUAGAGUAUGGUAGAGGGAAGUGGAAUUUCCGGUGUAGCGGUGAAAUGCGUAGAUAUCGGAAGGAACACCAGUGGCGAAGGCGGCUUCCUGGACCAAUACUGACACUGAGGCGCGAAAGCGUGGGGGCAAACAGGGAUUAGAUACCCUGGUAGUCCACGCCGUCAACGAUGAGAACUAGACGUUGGGAUGUUUAUCAUCUUAGUGUCGAAGCUAACGCGUUAAGUUCUCCGCCUGGGGGAUACGGCCGCAAGGCUA